rnacentral:rRNA from 1 species
UGCCCUACGGGACGCAGCAGUGAGGAAUAUUGGUCAAUGGGCGGGAGCCUGAACCAGCCAAGUCGCGUGAGGGAAGACGGUCCUAUGGAUUGUAAACCUCUUUAGGCGGGGAGCAAUGCCGGGCACGCGUGUCCGGAGGGAGAGUACCCGCAGAAUAAGCAUCGGCUAACUCCGUGCCAGCAGCCGCGGUAAUACGGAGGAUGCGAGCGUUAUCCGGAUUUAUUGGGUUUAAAGGGAGCGUAGGCGGGUUUUUAAGUCAGCGGUAAAAUUACCGGGCUCAACCCGGUCCGGCCGGU